rnacentral:rRNA from 1 species
GACGAACGCUGGCGGCGUGCUUAACACAUGCAAGUCGAACGGAAAGGCCCUGCUUUUGUGGGGUGCUCGAGUGGCGAACGGGUGAGUAACACGUGAGUAACCUGCCCUUGACUUUGGGAUAACUUCAGGAAACUGGGGCUAAUACCGGAUAGGAGCUCCUGCUGCAUGGUGGGGGUUGGAAAGUUUCGGCGGUUGGGGAUGGACUCGCGGCUUAUCAGCUUGUUGGUGGGGUAGUGGCUUACCAAGGCUUUGACGGGUAGCCGGCCUGAGAGGGUGACCGGCCACAUUGGGACUGCGAUACGGCCCAGACUCCUAUGGGAGGCAGCAGUGGGGAAUAUUGCACAAUGGGCGGAAGCCUGAUGCAGCAACGCCGCGUGCGGGAUGACGGCCUUCGGGUUGUAAACCGCUUUCGCCUGUGACGAAGCGUGAGUGACGGUAAUGUGUAAAGAAGCACCGGCUAACUACGUG